UGGCCCAAAAAAAAUGAAAAGAGAAAAAUGAGGCCCAAGUGAGGGGGUGGCCGGCCAUACAUGGCCCAAGCCCACAAAAUUAAUUAAUUACCAUGUGAUGAAUAAAUAAAAAGGGACCAUAUAUUCAUCAUCUUAAUCCAUAGAACAUUCAAGAAAUAUGAGAAAGAGAAAAACAAAAGAAAGAAGACCAAAACAAGAGGGGUAUACGGCCAAGACCCUCCAAAUUUCACCCCUUGAAAUCUUUCUCCAAAAAUUAUUUUCUUGUGGUAUUUCCACUAAUUCAAGGGUCCUUUACAACUUGGUGUAAUUAUUUUGGAAGAAAGAGCACUUGUUUCUUCAAGUUGACAACUUGGUCAAGUGAAGAAGAUUGUAGAAAAAGAUUUUGGCGAACUUGAAACUUGAUUUUGGAGACGUGUAUGAAGCGGAAAAGGUCAGCAGACAGGUGGACGUGAUCCUUAGAAGCUCUACCAGCCGCACUUGACAGCGCUCUAGUUGUUCCGGAGCCUCACUCCAGCGGUACUAUUUUAUGCAUAUACAUUCGGGCUUGGUAGCACCCCGACCCUUUCUAUGUAUAAGUGUACUAUGUCUAGAGGCUCGUAGACAGAUACGUACAGUCAGUCAGGUACAGAUAUAUGUAUAGUGUUUUGGCAUGUUAAUAUUGUUGUACAAGGUAAUAACGGAGUUUAUUAGUUUA